rnacentral:rRNA from 1 species
UACGUGGGCGGAAAAUUAAGUCAGUGGUGAAAUCCUGCAGCUUAACUGUAGAACUGUCAUUGAUACUGGUUUUCUUGAAUAUAGUUGAGGUAGGCGGAAUGUGUAAUGUAGCGGUGAAAUGCUUAGAUAUUACACAGAACACCGAUUGCGAAGGCAGCUUACUAAACUAUUAUUGACGCUGAGGUACGAAAGCGUGGGGAGCGAACAGGAUUAGAUACCCUGGUAGUCC